ACAGAGGUCCCAAGCGUUGUUCGGAUUCACUGGGCGUAAAGGGUGCGUAGGCGGUUGAUUAAGUCUGAUGUGAAAUCUCCGGGCCCAACCCGGAAACUGCAUCGGAUACUAGUCGGCUAGAGGAUUGGAGGGGGGAGUGGAAUUCUCGGUGUAGCAGUGAAAUGCGUAGAUAUCGAGAGGAACAUCAGUGGCGAAGGCGACUCCCUGGACAAUUCCUGACGCUGAGGCACGAAAGCUAGGGGAGCAAACAGG
rnacentral:rRNA from 1 species